AUUGAACGCUGGCGGCAUGCUUUACACAUGCAAGUCGAACGGCAGCGCGGGGCAACCUGGCGGCGAGUGGCGAACGGGUGAGUAAUAUAUCGGAACGUACCCAGAAGUGGGGGAUAACGUAGCGAAAGUUACGCUAAUACCGCAUACGAUCUACGGAUGAAAGUAGGGGACCGCAAGGCCUUAUGCUUUUGGAGCGGCCGAUAUCUGAUUAGCUAGUUGGUGAGGUAAAGGCUCACCAAGGCGACGAUCAGUAGCUGGUCUGAGAGGACGACCAGCCACACUGGAACUGAGACACGGUCCAGACUCCUACGGGAGGCAGCAGUGGGGAAUUUUGGACAAUGGGCGCAAGCCUGAUCCAGCAAUGCCGCGUGAGUGAAGAAGGCCUUCGGGUUGUAAAGCUCUUUCGUCAGGGAAGAAACGGUAGAGGCUAAUAGCCUUUGCUAAUGACGGUACCUGAAGAAUAAGCACCGGCUAACUACGU
rnacentral:rRNA from 1 species